UACGAAGGGGGCUAGCGUUGCUCGGAAUUACUGGGCGUAAAGGGCGCGUAGGCGGAUAGUUAAGUCAGAGGUGAAAGCCCAGGGCUCAACCCUGGAAUUGCCUUUGAUACUGGCUAUCUUGAGUAUGGGAGAGGUGAGUGGAACUCCGAGUGUAGAGGUGAAAUUCGUAGAUAUUCGGAAGAACACCAGUGGCGAAGGCGACUCACUGGCCCAUUACUGACGCUGAGGCGCGAAAGCGUGGGGAGCAAACAGG
rnacentral:rRNA from 1 species